UACGAGGGGGGCAAGCGUUGUUCGGAAUUAUUGGGCGUAAAGGGCGCGUAGGCGGUGCGGUAAGUCACCUGUGAAAUCUCCGGGCUUAACUCGGAGCCUGCAGGCGAAACUGCCGUGCUUGAGUGUGGGAGAGGUGCGUGGAAUUCCCGGUGUAGCGGUGAAAUGCGUAGAGAUGUGGAGGAACACCAAUGGCGAAGGCAGCCCUCUGGGCCAACACUGACGCUCAUGCACGAAAGCGUGGGGAGCAAACAGG
rnacentral:rRNA from 1 species